rnacentral:rRNA from 1 species
CCUACGGGGUGCAGCAGUGAGGAAUAUUGGUCAAUGGGCGCUAGCCUGAACCAGUCAAGUAGCGUGAAGGAUGACUGCCCUAUGGGUUGUAAACUUCUUUUAUAUGGGAAUAAAGUGCAGUAUGUAUACUGCUUUGCAUGUACCUUAUGAAUAAGGAUCGGCUAACUACGUGCCAGCAGCCGCGGUAAUAAGGAGGAUUCGAGCGUUAUCCGGAUUUAUUGGGUUUAAAGGGGGCGUAGGUGGGUUGUUAAGUCAGUUGUGAAAGUUUGUGGCUCAACCGUAAAAGAGCAGUUGAUACUGGCAGCCUUGAGUACACGAGAGGUAGGCGGAAUUCGCGGUGUAGCGGUGAAAUGCUUAGAUAUCGCGAAGAACUCCGAUUGCGAAGGCAGCAUGCUGGAGUGUAACUGACGCUGAUGCUCGAAAGUGUGGGUAUCAAACAGGAUUAGAUACCCUUGUAGUC